UCCCGCACGCACACAGCACAGAAGCACACCGACUGAGGAUUCAACGUGCAGAGGAUCUGCUUUGGUCAAAUCAAGAAUACCAGUUGAUGACUGCUGUGCAGUGGAAAUAGAGGAUCUACUUAGAUAAAUUCAAGAUGAAUGUAGAAAAUUUCUUCCACAGACCGAUCAUUUUGCUUGAUAAGACCUCAAUAUAUCGUCAGGAGCAACAGGUAUUAGUUUUGUAUUCCUUGAUAUGUUUUUUCCCCCUCCAAAAAUGGGCAGCCUGUGACUUGCAUUUUAUUAAUCACCAAGGGCCACAGUUUCAGCUAUAAAUCUUCUUUGCUGUUCUGCUGAAGAAACAUAGUCACUGACAUCUUGGAUGGCCUGAGGAUCUUUGCAGAAUUCAAUCGCAUAUCUCGGAUCUGAGUUCUGCGCAGCAUUGGACACGGACUCUGCACUUCUGAAAUUUUCAAGUUGAUUAAAAGUCAUCUGAGGUUUGCACUCCAGUACUUCAGGGUCUUCCAGUCAUCCUGGAGGAAGACCCAGAGGAAUUUUACAGGAUGUGCUUCGUAAGUAUUAUUGAAUUUUCUGCACUCAUCAUUUUGUUUUAUUCAAUGAGAAUAUAGGUCAGGUUAUGAAAAAUUAUAAAA